GAUGUUGUUUUUCACUGAAAGUCUGACAGCCCUACUUUAUAUAGGUUUCUUUUCUUGAGCACUUCGCGUAAUGUUUAUUGACAAUUCUUGCUUUGCAUUAUACUUUCUUUCCUUUUCUUAUGACCAAUUUCCACCAUUUAAAUAAAAUCUACUUUGAUCUCAUGCCUCCACCAUUGAAAUCCAUAAAUGUUCCUGGCUUGAAAUUAAGUUGCAUUAUUGAGCAUUGCGUUUAGACGAAUGCAUGAAAGGAAAGGUUAGGUGGGGCUUUAUAGUCGUGAUGAUGCUGGAGUCUUGAGAUCUCGGGAGUAAAAACGAACGAUCAAUAUCUUGCCGUUAGCGAAGAAUGGGAACAAAAGCAAUGGACGGAUUAGUUCCAAUUAAGCCUUGAGCAUUUAUGGAGAUAGAAUCACAUUUAAAUCAUGUCUUUGUGGGAUGCGUGCUCGAUAAAAGUGAAGUCGGGUGAUGACAGAUAAUAAUGAAGUCAUUACAUUAACUCUCCAUCGAAAUACAAUGAAGGCUUUCUGAAUAGAUGGGGAAUAGAUGGGACGCAGGGCAGAGGGGCGCUUGCUCCGUAAAAGCAUCCCUUUCCGAUCAUCGAAGGACAUCAAAUCGAAAACAUUGACAGAGCUCAUGUCCUUGGAGUACGAGGAGGAGCUUGAUUUUGUUCGUUCGUUCGUUUGGGAUCUUUAUAGGAAAAGCAUCCUACUCGUAUUUCAACAAACCUUUUCUUUCUUCUUUCUUCAGAGCAUUCUUCAAUCAGUGAUACGACACUCGGAGGUUGAAGGGAAAGGAGCUUUUCACGAACCCUUAGAGUGAUCACAAGACAAGGUGCCUUCACACUGCAAUGAACUGACACAUCUAAUCAUUUGAAUCAUGGAGCAGUGGAGAAUAGAUUGUGUUGCAGUGGUGGUGCUGGCCACGGUUCUCGUUCUCACCAUUGGACAGUCUGCUGCAUGUAAGUUGACAAUCUUAUCAUAUAAACAGGGCGCUACAAUAUCAACUUGCCCUCUUGCCCUAGAACAAAAAAAUAUUCCUAUUUCUUUGCCAUGCCUGUCACAUUGGCAAGCAAAACACUUUCAUCUCAAUGUGCAUAUAUAGCCAUAGGAUUAUAUAUUUUAUGGCAACUAAACAGUUCGGUAUUCGAGCAAGUGCUUAUAAAAUCAAGUUGCCCGUUCGGACAGGUUCAAAAGUAGAAUUUUGUUGCAUCCUCUGUAUGUGAGUUGAGUGUGUGGUUUGUUUUGUGUGGAUGACCUAAACAGUUGUAACGGUAUGCUUAUUUAUUGUUUAAGAUUGAUUGGGAAUAUAAGAUGUGCUCAGUAUCAUAUAUUUCCUCAAAUUACCUAAAAUAAACAUACACACAAUUUUAGAAAGUACAUGUGUUGUUGAAAAAAGAGGUCUAGCGGGGAAAAAAGAGUAAAACAGAUUUUUGUUAUUUAUUUUCAACUCUUUGAGUCACAGACUGUAUUUUCUUUCCACCGUCGUUCAACACGUGGUUCUUCUCCGAACACACACUCACACACCUUCGAUCAAUGGACAACCCCACCUCGACUGCAAAGGUCUGAGUUUGUUCUUAGGAGGCAGGCAGGGCUGUCAAACAGUUAUGAGCUUGACUUCACACAUUUAGUAGAAGGACAAUUUGUCCUUUCGCACCUUUUAGCACCUUCAGACUAUACCAGCACCUGUCAAUCAACGGCCCUGUCCGUGUUACCCCCAAUAUUUCUCAUCGUUUGUUACGUUCGUUCGUUUCGUCCCCUGUCUGCCUCUGGUGGAAGAAGUGUCGCGUGUUGACAUUGAGGGUCUAAUUUUGAAAUGGGAAUCAAAAUGAUCAU
rnacentral:lncRNA from 1 species